GACAUCACGUUGAAAACGCCGUUUCCCGUACGAUCAUCGAAGUUAAGCAACGUCGAGGCUGGUCAGUACCUAGGUGAAUGACCGCUUAAGAAUACCCGGUGCUGUAA